rnacentral:rRNA from 1 species
GACGAAUGCUGGCUGCGUGCUUAACACAUGCAAGUCGAACGGUGAAGGGGAGCUUGCUCCCCGGAUCAGUGGCGAACGGGUGAGUAACACGUGGGCAACCUGCCCCUCACUCUGGGAUAACUCCGGGAAACCGGGGCUAAUACCGGAUACGACCGGGAGCGACAUCGCUCCUGGUGGAAAGAACUUCGGUGAGGGAUGGGCCCGCGGCCUAUCAGCUAGUUGGUGGGGUAACGGCCCACCAAGGCGACGACGGGUAGCCGGCCUGCGAGGGCGACCGGCCACACGGGGACUGAGACACGGCCCAGACUCCUACGGGAGGCAGCAGUGGGGAAUAUUGCGCAAUGGGCGAAAGCCUGACGCAGUGACGCAGCGUGAGGGACGAAGGCCUGCGGGUUGUAAACCUCUUUCAGCGGGGACGAAGCGAAAGUGACGGUACCCGCAGAAGAAGCACCGGCUAACUACGUGCCAGCAGCCGCCGUAA